CACAAUCAUCACCAUAAACAAAGGAACUAAGCAAAAAGCGGAAUUUUGAAACAAAAUGAUGGACUACAGCGAAGUAUUGGAUUUUAGUGACAAAGGGGAGAGUAAGUUAGAGAUUUUGAAGUUUGGAUAUAGUUGGGCCGAGGAGAUGGAGAAGCAGGAG